rnacentral:piRNA from 1 species
CACAGUGUCCACAGGAUGAGUC